AGUGAACGCUGGCGGUAGGCCUAACACAUGCAAGUCGAACGGCAGCACAGUAAGAGCCUGCUCUUACGGGUGGCGAGUGGCGGACGGGUGAGGAAUACAUCGGAAUCUACUUUUUCGUGGGGGAUAACGUAGGGAAACUUACGCUAAUACCGCAUACGACCUACGGGUGAAAGCAGGGGAUCUUCGGACCUUGCGCGAUUGAAUGAGCCGAUGUCGGAUUAGCUAGUUGGCGGGGUAAAGGCCCACCAAGGCGACGAUCCGUAGCUGGUCUGAGAGGAUGAUCAGCCACACUGGAACUGAGACACGGUCCAGACUCCUACGGGAGGCAGCAGUGGGGAAUAUUGGACAAUGGGCGCAAGCCUGAUCCGGCCAUACCGCGUGGGUGAAGAAGGCCUUCGGGUUGUAAAGCCCUUUUGUUGGGAAAGAAAAGCAGCAGGUUAAUACCCCGCUGUUCUGACGGUACCCAAAGAAUAAGCACCGGCUAACUUCGUG
rnacentral:rRNA from 1 species